rnacentral:ncRNA from 1 species
ACCCCCGUGAGAAUGCCCUAUAGUUCUCUGCCCUAGAACAAGGAGCCGGUAUCAGGCACAAUAAUCCAUUAGCCCACAACACCUUGCUCAGCCACACCCCCAAGGGAAUUCAGCAGUGAUAAAUUUUAAGCAAUGAGUGAAAACUUGACUUAGUUAAUGCUUAGAGGGCCGGUAAAACUCGUGCCAGCAACCGCGGUUAUACGAGUAGGCCCAAGUUAAUAGAUAUCGGCGCAAAGCGUGGUUAAGAAAAAUUCCUAAAACUAAAGCCGAAUGCUUUCACGACCGUUAUACGUCCCUGAAAGUAAGAAGUUCUACCACGAAAGUGGCUUUACAACUCUGACCCCACGAAAGAUGGGAAACAAACUGGGAUUAGAUACCCCACUAUGCCCAUCCCUAAACCUUGAUAGUCCAACUCACCCACUAUCCGCCCGGGUACUACUAGCAUCAGCUUGAAACCCAAAGGACUUGGCGGUGCUUAAGAUCCAUCUAGAGGAGCCUGUCCUAGAACCGAUAAUCCCCGUUAAACCUCACCCCCUCUUGUAUCUUCCCGUCUAUAUACCGCCGUCGUCAGCUUACCCCGUGAGGGUUAAAUAGUAGGCAAAAUCAGUACAGCUCAAAACGUCAGGUCGAGGUGCAGCUUAUGAGGGGGGAAGAGAUGGGCUACAUUCCCUGAUUCAGGGCAUACGGACAACUGCAUUGAAACAUGCGUUAGAAGGAGGAUUUAGCAGUAAGCAGAAAAUAGAGAGUUCAGCUGAAGCAGGCACUAAAGCGCGCACACACCGCCCGUCACUCUCCCCGAAUUUAAUAAACCUAACAUAAAUAAUAAGUAUGUCAACAAAGGGGAGGCAAGUCGUAACAUGGUAAGUGUACCGGAAGGUGUACUUGGAAAAAUU